CUGUUUCAGGGCCAGAUGCUACCAUCCUGAUUUUGCCUGUGCAGUGCAUGAUAAGUAAAAUAAUUGGUUGGGAUUUUUUUUGGCUUUCUUGGCCUCCUUUUUCUGAACAACACCAAUUGGCAAGGAAACCAUCUGCCCAUAAUAAUGCUGCAGAAUGGAGUGGGUUUGGCCGCAGGAUUGUGACAUCUCAAAACCUCUUCUCUUGACCUUCCUCCUUCUGCCAUAGCUCAAGUUGCAUACGGAAAGAAUCAAACUGAAGGAAUAAAAAGGUCUCCAGGAAGAAGAAACUGACUCUCCCACAAAUUCCAGUGUAAUUCAUGAUGGAAGCAAGCAUCUUCCAAGAAAUAUAUUAUUUCCAUCUUCUUUGUUUAAACCUCGUCAGUGAUGAAAUUCAGCCAGAUCUAUCUGGUUUGCGCAAUCCAAUAGGGCCGACGGCGGGAAGCUCCGUCCACCCGCCCUGAUGUAAUCACGCCUGAUUUUGACCCUCUGCGCAUGUGCAGAAGAUUCUGUGCAUGUCUGGAGGAGGUGCAUGCUCACAUUUGCGAUCCGGUAGUGAAGAAUGAAGAACAGUAUGAAAAUGUUUACAUACAUAAUGAAGAGGAAAUAAAAUUUUAAAAAGCA